GAUGAACGCUAGCUACAGGCUUAACACAUGCAAGUCGAGGGGCAGCAUGGGGAUGGCUUGCCAUUCCCGAUGGCGACCGGCGCACGGGUGAGUAACGCGUAUCCAACCUGCCCGCAACCGCGGAAUAGCCCGCCGAAAGGCGGAUUAAUGCCGCAUGAGCUCGCGUGAGGGCAUCAACCCGCGAGCAAAGGUUCGUUCCGGUUGCGGAUGGGGAUGCGUCCGAUUAGGCAGCAGGCGGGGCAACGGCCCACCUGGCCCGCGAUCGGUAGGGGUUCUGAGAGGAAGGUCCCCCACAUUGGAACUGAGACACGGUCCAAACUCCUACGGGAGGCAGCAGUGAGGAAUAUUGGUCAAUGGGCGCGAGCCUGAACCAGCCAAGUAGCGUGGGGGAUGACUGCCCUAUGGGUUGUAAACCCCUUUUGCGCGGGGAUAAACCGGCGGACGCGUCCGCCGCUGCAGGUACCGCGCGAAUAAGGACCGGCUAAUUCCGUGCCAGCAGCCGCGGUAAUACGGAAGGUCCGGGCGUUAUCCGGAUUUAUUGGGUUUAAAGGGAGCGUAGGCGGGAGGCUAAGCGUGCUGUGAAAUCCGGCGGCUCAACCGUCGCGAGCAGCGCGAACUGGCUUUCUUGAGUGCGCGGGAGGCAGGCGGAAUUCGUGGUGUAGCGGUGAAAUGCUUAGAUAUCACGAAGAACCCCGAUUGCGAAGGCAGCCUGCCGUAGCGUUACUGACGCUGAAGCUCGAAGGUGCGGGUAUCGAACA
rnacentral:rRNA from 1 species